AAAUUGGCUAGGCUCAAGGUUGAUUUUCCAGGGGUCUAUUUCCACUGCAAGGACAACGGCAACCACGACCAUCCCUUUUCGCACAUUGUGACGAUGAUAGGGACGCGGUUUUUGCAACGGCGCAUCCGACCAGGAGCGCGCGUUCUCGACGUUUAUGGCAAUCCAAAUGGUUGCGAUUCCUUUAAUCGCAGCCAAGCAAACGCCGAA
rnacentral:misc_RNA from 1 species